AUUGAACGCUGGCGGCAGGCCUAACACAUGCGAGUCGAGCGGAUGAAGGGAGCUUGCUCCUGGAUUCAGCGGCGGACGGGUGAGUAAUGCCUAGGAAUCUGCCUGGUAGUGGGGGAUAACGUCCGGAAACGGGCGCUAAUACCGCAUACGUCCUGAGGGAGAAAGUGGGGGAUCUUCGGACCUCACGCCAUCAGAUGAGCCUAGGUCGGAUUAGCUAGUUGGUGGGGUAAAGGCCUACCAAGGCGACGAUCCGUAACUGGUCUGAGAGGAUGAUCAGUCACACUGGAACUGAGACACGGUCCAGACUCCUACGGGAGGCAGCAGUGGGGAAUAUUGGACAAUGGGCGAAAGCCUGAUCCAGCCAUGCCGCGUGUGUGAAGAAGGUCUUCGGAUUGUAAAGCACUUUAAGUUGGGAGGAAGGGCAGUAAGUUAAUACCUUGCUGUUUUGACGUUACCAACAGAAUAAGCACCGGCUAACUUCGUG
rnacentral:rRNA from 1 species